rnacentral:rRNA from 1 species
UAUACAAGGUGCUGCAUGGUUGUCGUCAGCUCGUGCCGUGAGGUGUCGGGUUAAGUCCCGAUAACCGAGCGCAACCCUACCUUUACGUUGCCAUCAGGUAAUGCUGGGGACUCUAAAGGAACUGCCUACGCAAGUAGUGAGGAAGGCGGGGAUGACGUCAAAUCAGCACGGCCCUUACGUCCAGGGCUACACACGUGCUACAAUGGCCGAUACAGAGGGCAGCUACCUGGUGACAGGAUGCAAAUCUCCAAAGUCGGUCUCAGUUCGGAUCGGAGUCUGCAACCCGACUCCGUGAAGUUGGAUUCGCUAGUAAUCGCGCAUCAGCCAUGGCGCGGUGAAUACGUUCCCGGGCCUU